UGGGGAAUAUUGGACAAUGGGGGGAACCCUGAUCCAGCCAUGCCGCGUGUGUGAAGAAGGCCUUAUGGUUGUAAAGCACUUUAAGUGAGGAGGAGGGUACUGGCAUUAAUACUACCAGGUACUGGACGUUACUCGCAGAAUAAGCACCGGCUAACUCUGUGCCAGCAGCCGCGGUAAUACAGAGGGUGCGAGCGUUAAUCGGAUUUACUGGGCGUAAAGCGUGCGUAGGCGGCUAAUUGAGUCGGAUGUGAAAUCCCCGAGCUUAACUUGGGAAUUGCAUUCGAUACUGGUUAGCUAGAGUGUGGGUGAGGAUGGUAGGAUACCAGGUGUAGCGGUGAAAUGCGUAGAGAUCUGGAGGAAUACCGAUGGCGAAGGCAGCCAUCUGGCCUAACACUGACGCUGAGGUACGAAAGCAUGGGGAGCAAACAGG
rnacentral:rRNA from 1 species